AUAUCAUGGUGUGGAAACUUUCUCAAUAACUCCUUGAAUCUUUCCAAUGUUUCAUAAAUAGAUUCAUCUUUCAACUAUUGAAAGGAAAUAAUCUCACUAGGAAACUU